rnacentral:lncRNA from 1 species
GCGAUAUUGUUGGUCUGACAUCAAUUUAUGUUAAUUGGGAAUAACUCGCUUUCUAUUUAUACCCAACCGAAAGGACCGCGAGACAAGCGUUUGGGCAGCUCCCUGUUUAUGAAAAUUCUAAAAUGAGGCUUAAACCAAACCAGGAUGUGGUUUUACUUUUCUGUCUUGGCGUUCUUUGUUUCAGCCAAAUAGGCUGUGUAAGCCUCGAAAUCACGCAAAGACAAGAGAGACACGGAGAGGAAAAAAACGAUGAUGUUCGAGUGGGUACCAUUAUGUUCGGCAGAGAUAUUUCUGAUUUUGGCCCAGUGAAAAAUGAGGAUGGCUUUAACAUUCAAGCCGACGCUGCUGAGCUGGUUGGUGGACAAGAUGUCAUUGAUGACUCCAGUUCUUCUAAGGCAGCCUGGGCUAGUAUGCGACCAACUGUGUUAUGUACUAAGGACCUCAUGAAGUUCUUGGCACAAGGCCCAGGAUCCUCUUCACUUCAGCUAGACAGAGCAGGAGGAACACCGCUCAAGCUAAACCAGCUGCCGGAGGACUGUGGCUACUCUGUGUACAGGACCGUACUGGGCUUUGUGUUUCUCAUCACUUAUGAUGGUUGUGAUGUUAUAAAUCAGGGUGGCAACCAUUUGCUCCAGAUGUUAUGGCAAGGCAAUCCAGUAACCCUUUCUUGCCCUGUGUCAACCCAAGCCUCUCAAUCUCCUAUGGAUCGACCACUUAUCCAUCCAUCAGCUCCCACUACUGAAGCUCCAUCUACUGGGAUACAACCCAGGAUGCAAAACCCAGGAUCCACUGCCUCUAAGCUUCCCCCACAAGAUCAGCAGCAGCAGCAGCAACAGUUGAUGCAGCAGCAGCAGCAACAGUUGAUGCAGCAGCAGCAGCAACAGUUGAUGCAGCAGCAGCAGCAACAGUUGAAGCAGCAGCAGCAGCAGCAGCAGCAGCAGCAAGAAUUGAUGCACUCUUACCUCAUGUACCCAGGAUACAGAAACCCUUUCAUGCCAGUAAAGGCUCCCCCUCAAACUACUGCAGCUCCCACUACUGAAGCUCCAACUACCACAGAAGCAACUUCAUCCACUGCCUCUAAGCUUCCCCCACAAGAUCAGCAGCAACAGUUGAUGCACUCUGACUUCGUGUACCCAGGAUACUCUAACCCUUUCAUGCCAGUGAAGGCUCCCUACCAAACUACUGAAGCUCCAACUACUACAGAAGCAACUUCAUCCACUGCCUCUAACCUUCCCCCACAAGAUCAACAGCAGCAGCAACAGUUGAUGCAGCAGAAGCAACAGUUGAUGCAGCAGCAGCAGCAGCAGCAACAGUUGAUGCAGCAGCAGCAGCAGCAGCAACAGUUGAAGCAGCAGCAGCAGCAGCAAGAAUUGAUGCACUCUUACUUCAUGUACCCCGGAUACAGAAACCCUUUCAUGCCAGUAAAGGCUCCCCCUCAAACUACUGCAGCUCCCACUACCACAGAAGCAACUUCAUCCACUGCCUCUAAGCUUCCCCCACAAGAUCAGCAGCAACAGUUGCAGCAGCAGCAGCAGCAGCAGCAGCAGCAGCAGCAGCAACAGCAGCAGCAGCAGCAGCAACAGUUGAAGCAGCAGCAGCAGCAAGAAUUGAUGCACUCUUACCUCAUGUACCCAGGAUACAGAAACCCUUUCAUGCCAGUAAAGGCUCCCCCUCAAACUACUGCAGCUCCCACUACCACAGAAGCAACUUCAUCCA